rnacentral:lncRNA from 1 species
GCAGGGAGGGUGGUCCUGAUUGAACGGGAUAGGUGCGAUGCAUUCUUGCAAAAAUGUGUCGAGGACUCCCGCCCUGAGGGGCUGGAUGGGGACCCAACCAUGACGUUGGCAAGGAGGGUAACGAGACUGAUGGGGGGUGAAGCCUUCCCAAGCUUUUGGAGGGGGGAAAUAGUUACCAAUCCAAUUUGCCCCAGACUGUUCGCGUUCGUGGGGACGCGCAAGCAGCCUAUUGACGCGGGACCUAUGGUUGAAGGGAUUGGAGCCCCUACGUGCAAGCUGGAAGGGGCAAUGGCUGGAUGGGCUGUGAAGGUCUUGG